UACGGAGGAUGCAAGCGUUAUCCGGAAUGAUUGGGCGUAAAGCGUCCGCAGGUGGCUGUGUAAGUCUGCUGUUAAAUAGUGAGGCUCAACCUCAUAAAGGCAGUGGAAACUAUACGGCUAGAGUGCGUUCGGGGCAGAGGGAAUUCCUGGUGUAGCGGUGAAAUGCGUAGAGAUCAGGAAGAACACCGGUGGCGAAAGCGCUCUGCUAGGCCGCAACUGACACUGAGGGACGAAAGCUAGGGGAGCGAAUGGG
rnacentral:rRNA from 1 species